AUUGAACGCUGGCGGCAGGCCUAACACAUGCAAGUCGAACGAUCACAGGAAGCAGCUUCCUCUUUUGCUUACGCGUGGCGGACGUGUGUGUAAUGUCUGGGACCCUGCUCUAUGACUGGGGUUAACUCCUGGAAACGGUACCUAUUCCCGCUUAACUUCUCAACCCCAUAGUUCGAUACCUUAGGACCUCUUUCCUUCCACUUUUCCCUGAUGGGAUUCGGUAGUAGGUGGGGUAACGGCUCACCUAGGCGACGAUCCGUAGCUGGUCUGAGAGGAUGACCAGCCACACUGGAACUGAGACACGGUCCAGACUCCUACGGGAGGCAGCAGUGGGGAAUAUUGCACAAUGGGCGAAAGCCUGAUGGAGCAAUGCCGCGUGUAUGAAGAAGGCCUUCGGGUCGUAAAGUACUUUCAGAGGGGAGGAAGGGAGUAAAGUGAAUACAUGUGCGCAUUGACGUUACCCGAAGAAGAAGCACCGGCUAACUACGUG
rnacentral:rRNA from 1 species